GUUGUCUUUGUUCCACUCCCCGUCCCUCCCCUUUUCUCCUCCCCUCCUUUGGCCCAGAGGGCUGCACAGUGCCUCUCUCGGAAAAAGUACUUCAUAGGUUUGCCAUGAGGACUGCUGGGGCCAAGGCCACUUGCUCGCCAGGGUGUUUCAUAUUCCAGUCAGAUGAUCUGGGUGAUACGGGUUUGGUUUGGAGCCCACCUUCCAAGAAUGAAAGAGACCACUCACCACUUUGUCUGACACUUUGCAGUCCGCCUUCACUGGCUGAAAGGCUGACUCUUAGGACUUCUACCCCAAACCAUAGCACCUACGGGCCAUGUGUUCUGUUUGAGCCUCAGAGUUUGAGAUGAGUGGGUGGUUGAGGGAGUAGGCAUUCAUUAGAGAGAUGGGUGUGGGAACUAUCUAUUAUGUGCUCCAGGAUUCUUGAUGUCACUUUGUGCUGCCAACUCUUGACGUAGCCAUCAGUGCUAGAUUAGGAGGGGUGCUUGCUUGCUUACUACCCAUUGAGCACCUGCUGGGCACUUUAUAUGCAUUGUCUCAUUUGAUCUUUAUGACCCUCUUCUGGGUGGUGGGCUGGUGGAUCAGACCCUGCAGCUGACAUACCAACUCUACCAUCUUGAUUCUUACAGAUUACACAGACAGAGGUCCAGCAAGGACAGCAGCAGUUCAGCCAGUUCACAGAUGGACAGAUUACCAAGAGUUGGGGAAAUGCUGACUUCCAAGCUGCUGGUACAGUGGUUCGAAUUGCUUGUGUUUGCCACAGAGGAACAGCGUGCAGCAAGCUCGAGUCUCUGAGCUAACGGGAGAGGCAGAGCCCAGAGAAGUGAAAGCCACAGGAAAUUCAACUCCCUGCACCUCUUCCCUGCCCACCACACACCCCCCCUCACACCGGGCUGGUGCCUCCUGUGUCUGCUGCUCCCAACCCCAGCAGAGCUCCACUUCCCCUCCUCCUUCUGACGCCUUGCAGUGGGUGGUGGUUGAGGUAUCUGGGACCCCCAACCAGCUCGAGACCCAUAGGGAGCUGCAUGCCCCUCUCCCAGGGGUGACCUCACUCUCUCCUCUCCACCCCUCGCAGCAGCUCUACCAGAUCCAGCAAGUCACCAUGCCUGCGGGCCAGGACCUCGCCCAGCCCAUGUUCAUCCAGUCAGCCAACCAGCCCUCCGACGGGCAGGCCCCCCAGGUGACCGGCGACUGAGGGCCUGAGCUGGCAAGGCCAAGGACACCCAACACAAUUUUUGCCAUACAGCCCCAGGCAAUGGGCACAGCCUUCCUCCCCAGAGGACCCGGCCGACCUCAGCGCCUCCUGCAGGCUAGGACACUGGUGCACUACACCCCACGCCUGGGGGCCGAGAUUCUCCAGCAGAAAGAUGCAAUAUUUUUUGUUUCCUUUUUUUCCAUUUUUUUCUCCAAGGAAUCAAUAUUUCAAUAUGUUGAGUGUGUGUCCAAUGCUAUGAAAUUAAAAUAUUAAAUAACAUAUUUAUGGCAUUUUCUUGAAGAGUGUGGUUGAAGAAAUAUUUCUCCUUUUGUUUUUCUUUUUUUUUGUUUGUUACUGCCACUUCUUUUUAGGAGCAAAUCUCCCCAGGGGUGUACGGUAUUUCUUGACUCUGGGAACAGCUGCUACCCCCAAGACUUGCCACGUUGUUCUGCCCUCAGAUGGAAUUAGGUGAAUGUGUGUAGCUGCUUUUUCACUCGUGGUCCUCUCCCCAUCCCUUGCUCUGACCCCAGAGCUCUGUGUAUUUGCAUCCAGAGGCCAUGGAAACAUUCUUUGCAUUUAAGAGACAGAUUUAUUCCCUGUGGAGAGUGGGUGGAUUCAUUGCCACACUCUUUUCUCCCAGGGACCCAGGAAACUAGGACUUUGUGUGUUUGCUGCCCACCUCCCUUUUAUUUUUUCAACGCAUUAAAAAUUGUGCUAGUCUCCUUUGCAUGGACUUCAAGCUGCAUGAAAUGCAAUAAAUCUCAUUUUAGAU
rnacentral:sRNA from 1 species